GUGAGCAUCUCAGGCUGGUUCUCAAAAAUACUGCAAGCAGGAGAGGGAGGUGGCUCUGGCGCCAGGCUUGUAGAUACGACAGCUGUGACGUACAUUCCUUUAACACACACACACACACAGACACAUACUGCUGGCGCCAGAUAGAGAAAACUCUCACUCAGCAUUUCAGAGAUGCUUACUGAGGGGUAAAAUGUUCAGUUCAGUACACAUUAUCAUCACAUAGAACAAAAAGUAAUAUCAUUAAUAGUCGUCAUUGUCUAUGAAUCAUCACACGUCAUUGAUUAUGAAUCAUUUCAAUAAACACCUUCCAUCACAA